rnacentral:lncRNA from 1 species
AAAGUCUCCAGGGACAUCAGGAUAGCCAGCAUACUGUAUUGUUACUUGUAUUACUUGGUUUUAUCAUAAAAAUCUGUCACAACAGUUGGCUGGUCUGUCAAAGAUUGCCUUAAAUGAACAUUUUAUUCCAGGGAAUUACAAAAUCUUUAUUUAUUUAUGUAUGUAUUAUUUAUUUUCUUCUUUUUUGAGACAGGGCCUCACUCUGUCACCCCGGCUACACUGCAGUGGCUUACUGAAACUUCACAUCCCAGGCUCAAGCAAUCCUCCUCCCUCAGCCUCUCAGCCUCUUCAGUAGCUACAACACAGGUCCCACAGGCUUUGGAUUAUCUGUAUAAACUAUCUCGGCCGGGUGCGGUGGCUCAAGCCUGCAGUCUCAGCACUUUGGGAGGCCGAGUGGACGGAUUGCCUGACCUCAGGAGUUUGCGAUCAGCCUGGGCAACACGGUGAAACUCCUCCUCUACUGAAAAAAAUAAGACAUAAAAUCAGUUGGCCGUGGCGCCGUGCGCCUAUAGUCCCAGCUACUCGAGGCUGAGACAGCAGAAUUGCUUGAACCCGGCAGAUGGAUGUUGCAGUGAGCCAAGAUCAUGCCACUGCCCUCUUGCCUUGGUGACAGAGACUCCGCCCCCGCGCCCCCCCAAAAAGAACAAAAACAAAGCAAAACUAUCUCAAAUGUAUUUGGCUUUACUUAACUCACCUGUAUAGACUUAUAAAUAUAUCAUUACAGAGGAAGCAUGGAAGCCAAGAAGAGCCAAAAUACUAUUGAGUAUAAAUACCGUAUUAUUAGUAAGAAUGCUUCCAAAUAUAUUCCACUAUGGAAUUCAAGCUGUCUUUGGUUUUAAGAUUAUUCUCCUUCAUUCGAUUAUUGGUUUCAUGUUAUUAUUACUGAUUUCACCAUAUUAGAUUUUAUAUUAUUUAAAGUGGAAUGUGUAUCAUGUUCAUCUUUAUAUCUUGUUUUUAUGCAUCAAUAAGAACAUACCUAGAAGAAUGCUUUAUAUACUUUAAGUGCCUAUUCAAUGUGUAUUAUAUAAAGGUGAAUUUCAAUAUAAAUGAACACAUCAAAUAUUUAAUUUUAGUCUUUAAAAAAUUGUUAUUUGUAACAUAGACCAGUGAAAAUAGUUACAUAAAAUAUAUGAUAAUAUAAUAUUUAAUAUUAUAUAUAACAAUAUCAAAUAAAAUUUAAUGUCAGAUCAAAACAACAACAGAAAUUUAUUAGAGUCAGAAUAGAAAUUGAGCAGGGUCAUGUAUCUGGAACACAGAAAAAGUUGUGUUAACAUGCUCCUAGAUUUACUUUGGCAAGGUGUCUUUAUUCUGUUAUUCAUCAUUGAUGAGUGAUUAAUUAAGAGUUGAUGUUUACAGAAAGUAACUUACCUGUGUAGGUCUUAGUAGUCAUGUGGCCCUUCCUUUUACUUUGCGUAUGAAAUGUUCAAUGUAUCUAGAGUAAAGACAAUCAAUUUAAUAAUUUGUCUUGUAGAGCCAAAUAAUUAGAGGUUGACUGGCUACCUAUCUUACUAUCAAUUUCCAUUUUGAUGACAGGAUUUAUAAUUCAGACAGGUUAAGUAAACCUAUAACAUGUGGCUAUCUUAUACUUUCUAUCCCUAAAUUAUGCCAACAGUAUUUGUACAUUUUCUUUUGGAUCUUUCACAUUACCUCAGUUAAAAAACAAAAAGGCAUCAUUAGGAGGAAUAAUAUGGGUGCAUUAAGCAAUGCUGAAAUGGAGACUUGCUGAAGGAUAGCUUAUAUGAGCAUAGCUUACAGAAUAGCUCCCAAGAGUAGUGUUGCAAAAGAUAGAAACUCAGGCAAAUUAUUCUAUAAAUAUUUUAAUACUAAUGAAAAAAAUCUAGAAAUUUGUCCCCUAUUUCUUAGGCAGCAGCCAUAAGUACAGAGCAUAAGGGAACACAAUUCAAGAAACCGUGAACACAAAUUUUGUUAUUCUAACCAUAAACUCAUGAUUUGGCAGUAAAUCUAGUCUUAAAUUUAAAAGGAAAAUUGUAUGAUUUUAUAUGAUUUAACCCUCCCAUAAAAGGUAGAUUCAAGUUAGUACUAUGAAUCGCUAGAUUAAAAUUUCACAAAUGAAUAACAGUUUUGUAAACUGUAAGACACCAUAAAAUCAGAGAUUUAGUGCUUUCAAAUCCUUUAAAAAUUAUCAUUAAUCAUUUUAUUUCAGCAUACUACUACUCAGCUUUAUUCUCUGAAUGAUGAGAUAUUUUCUACACCCACUCAUUUCGAUAUAGUCAUUAUCUAUCUUUUCACCCAAGCUACUAAUCUGGUCAUCACUUUUUACUUCUCCUCCCUUAAUCUCCAAGUUUAACCUGAUAGCUAAACAUCUAAUUUUACCUUUAAGUUGUUUUGUUUUCAAAAUUUUUCUCCUAUUUAUCUUCCAUGACUUAUUAAAUUCCUUUCAAUUUGUAUCUAGCAUACUUUGAUUUCCUUUCUAAUUGGUCUGCUCACUUUAAUAUUGUCUUCACCAAGGAAGAAAAUAUGUCCUUUUAAAUGAUCUGAUUCAGCAUUUCUCAAAACUAUAUUUACAUAGAAAUCACCCGAGAACUUUCAGUGACAGAUUCUGAUUCACUAGAUCUGGAGAAGAGACUGAGUUGCAUUUAAAAGCUCUCACGUGAUGCUAAUGAUGCUGUUUUGCAGAUCACACUCUGAGAAGCAAGACUCUUAGUAAAACCUUAAUUGCUCAUGUUACUCCCUUUCAUGACAUUUAUCACAGCAGCCCAUUGCUGUUGCGAUAUAGUCAACAUACCUUAGAGUGAUGCUUAUUUAGGACCUUCAUCAUCAUAUCCUUACAUUUACCACCAUUUCUUUAAGUGCUCCUCUUUCUCAGUGGCAGGCCUUGGUAUGUAAUCUUCUAAUACCAAACUUGGGGUAUUUCUCCCCAGAAUGUAGUGUCAUGCCUACAUGCAUGUUGUAUUAGUCAGAGUAUGAGAGACAGACCCACUGUGUGUGUGUGUGUGUGUGUGUGUGUGUGUGUGUGUGUAUGAGAGAGAGAGAGGAGGAGAGGGGAGAGAGAGAGGGGAGGGGAGAGAGAAGGGGGGAGGGGAGGGGAGGGGAGGGGAGGAUUUAUUAGGAUAAUUGGCUCAUGUGAUUGUAGAGGCUGAGUAGUUCCAUGACAUGCCAUCCACAAAACUGGAGACCCUGGGAUGUCAGUGUGGCUCAGUCUGAAUGCCUUAGAAUCAGUGAAGCUGAUGGCAUAACUCUUGGUUUGAGGCCAAAGAUCUAAGAACCUAGGGUCAUAUUGGUGUAAAUGUUGGAGUCCAAAGGUAGGAGAGCAUGGAGUUCUGAUAUCUAAUGGCAGGAGAAGAAUAGUAUCUCAGUUCUAGAAGAGAGAGACAAAAUUACCUUUUCUUUGACCUUUUUGUCUUUCGAGCUCCCAAUCAGUUUGAUGGUGCCUACCAUAUUGAGUAUGGAUCUUUCCCACUCAGUCCACCAAUUUACAUGUGAAUUUCCUCUGUGAAUGCCCUCACACACACACCCAGAAGUAAUGUUUUACCAAUUAUCCAGAUAAUCCUUAAUUCAGUCAACUUGAUAUCUAAAUUUAUCACCACACCUGUGGACACACUCUUGGCCCUGUCUAGGUCUUUCUCAUUGACAUUUUCCUCUGUUUUCAAUAAUCACCUUAUUUUUACUUCUUCAAGGAAACAUUCACUGGCAGUUUCAGGCUUGGGUUUACUAUUCUUGUAUAUGUUGCCUUGUCGCUCUGGGUUUAAGUUAUGACAACCACUUACGACUGUUCUGAGACUAUUCAGAAGUAUUUACUUCACUGGUUUAUAAGUUCAAGCCAUGAGUAUUUUCAUCUUUGUAUACCACAGCCCUAGCCAAGGUACUGAUAUAUAAUGAGAAAUGGUAAAUAUUUGCCCAACUCAAUGGAUGAUAUGUGAGUUAACUUCUGGAAUUUGUUCAAAUUAUAUAUGUUGCUGAAGUAUUGCUGGAACAAGCAGGAUAUUUAAUACAAAGUUUUUCACAAUAUUCACUGAUUUACAUAUUCUGUUUUUAUAGCAUUUAGUGAUGUCCCUUUACUGAUUCCUGAUGCUGUCUACUUGUGACUGCUCUCUUUUUUCUCUGAUCUUUUUUUGUCAGAAGUUUAAGAUUUUUAGUUAUGUUUUGGCUAUGUAGAUCAUGUUUGUUUGUUUUCUAUAUCAUUCAUUUCUUUGGUCUUUGAUUUUCUUUAUUAAUAUUUUUCUAUCUUCUUAAGAAUUAUGCUUAAGAUCAAUAAUUUCCAGCUUUAUUUUUUAAAAAUAUUUGUGUUUAAAUCUACAAUUUUUCCUCAAACCAAUUCAUAGCUAGACCUUGCAAAAUGUGAUUUGUAUUUUAUUACUAUUCAGUUCAAAAUAUUUUGUAACUUCCAUUGUGAUUUCUUGUUGAUCCCAAGUUAUUUAGAAUUGCAUUGCUUGCUUUCAGUAUAUGAGAAUAUUUUUCUUAUUAACAUUUUAUUGCUCACUUCAGCUUAAUUUCUCUAUGAUCAAAGAGCAUACUUCGUAUAAUUUUAAUCCUUUUGAAUUGAGAUUUGUGUCAUGGCACAACAAAAGACCAACUUUGAUAAACGAUUAAUGUGAAUUUGAAAAUAAUGUGUAUUGUGCCAUUUCUCUGUGCAUAUUCCUUUCCUUUGUGUCCUAUCAAUAAUGUAAAAGUAUUGUCAAAUACCCUACUACACUGAGAUUUGUCUAUUUAUUACCAAGGGAACAUUGGAUCCAAUUGUCCAGUUUACUUCUCUUUUUCCUCUUCUUCUGAAUCUUUAACCCACAAAUUCUUUGCAUUGGUAGAUCUUCAGUGAAAUCUUUUUUAAAAAGUAAAACAUUUCCUGCAUUUAAAAAUUUAUCUAGUCUAAAAAUUUGCAUAAACAAUCUAUUCAGCCAUUUUUAAAGGCUCUGGAUAGCUCUUUAAAGGUAUAUCAUGCAUAAUUUACUUCCAAAAUGGCAAAGGAUCAAUUUAUGUUUAUUCUUUAUCUUGAAACAGAUUUAGUAUUUCAUCUUCUGGAUGAAAACCUAUUUCCUACAUUUUCAUAUUUUUUCCCUUAAAGUUGUUCUCUUAUAUUUUAUUCAUAUGUGAAGACUGCAUAUAAAGUGUCUGCUUCUUAGGAACUAAAACAUGCCCUCUUCAAAAUGAAAUAAAAUAAAAAUAAACAAGAUUAAAAAAACAUCAAAUAUAAAUGUAGACUAAAUCCCAAUGACUUGGAAACCGAGUGCAAAUUAAAGGACUUUAAGAUAUUUUUAGCAUACUCUAGUGAAAAAAGUACAAAAUAAAUACAAACCAUGUAAUAUAUAUAUAUUUUUCUCUCUGUACACUAACUUUGAGAAGAUUUGAAUCAUAUAAUUGAGAGUAGUUAUACAUUUUUAAGAUUUAUUUUGUAUAUCUGAGAUUUUUCUG